rnacentral:lncRNA from 1 species
AUGAAAUGUAUGCAGAGCUUGCACUGUGUCUGGCACGCUGAGAAUAGCCAAGGACUGUUGUCCUUUAUAUUGUUCUUGAGCCUGUACUGUGCCGGCGUAGGCAGACACCAGGACAUCCUGCUGCCUCUAAUAAUACCGUCACCCCCACGUCCUAGAGCUUUAUGCCUAGAUGGGGUGCAGACUGCACCAAGUCUCCCGUUUUCUCGUUUUCUAGAGAGAACUCGUGCAGUGGGGAUUGCUACUUUCAGAAGGAAACUGGAGAAGGUCGUGAACAUUCACCCCAGUCCUUUUUAUCCAGCGAGAUUCACGCCUGGAAAACUGCUGUCUGGUCAGAAAGACUUUGCUGAGAAGAGCCAAGAGCUGAAACCCAGCCGAGGUGUUUCAGGAAAGAGGAGGACCACACAUCCCCAUUCAUUGACAUGUGACCACAGAGGAUCCCUCCCUGCCACUUCCAGGCUUGGCCAUGUGACCUGCCUUGGCUGGUGGAAUAUGAAUGGAUACGACAGAAGCCAUGUCUCUGCAACUUUGAGAGCAGUUACAUGGCUUGGUUCUGCCUCUUGUUCUUUUCCCUUUGCCAAGAGAACACAAUGUCUUGACUGUGGGCUGCUCCUUCAGCACAUGUCCCAGAACGAGAAGGAGCAUGGAGCAGAGCCACAGUGGCCACCAUGCAGCUCUCAACACGAGCAAGAUUGAAGCUGAUUUUUGUUACUGCAGCACAACUUAGCAAGCUCUGACAAAUACAGAAGGCUCUACUGGACAUCUCGGGGUAUAUCUAUCCAGCUUUCCUUCCUCCCAAAUGGAGACCACAAUGCUGCCACCUACAAGCUGUGUGAUUUUGAGAAAAAUCACAGAACGUCUUGGCCUCAAAUUUCUACACUAACAGACAGAGCUUUCUCCCAGCUUUCUGACCAGCAAUUCUGAAGAACUAGCCUAUCACUUGACACUUGACCCCUGUCGUUCAUGAGUUAUCUUUGCACGUGGUAGUAUCAUACCAGGGAAGUCCCCCCAAAUUUUGAGUCCAACAGCUAUGUAUUCUUGAGCAAAUUGUUUUAUCUCUCUUAUCUGUAAAAUUUUUCUCCUCUAUUAAAGGAAAAUGCAUCACACAGCAUUGGGGUAUGUCAUCUAGCUCAUAGAAUGUACUCAAUAAAUCGAAGUGCCCUCCCUUUCUCUUACCUUCU